AACGAACGCUGGCGGCAUGCCUAACACAUGCAAGUCGAACGAGACCUUCGGGUCUAGUGGCGCACGGGUGCGUAACGCGUGGGAACCUGCCCUUAGGUUCGGAAUAACUCCCCGAAAGGGGUGCUAAUACCGGAUAAUGUCUUCGGACCAAAGAUUUAUCGCCUUUGGAUGGGCCCGCGUUGGAUUAGCUAGUUGGUAGUGUAAAAGCCUACCAAGGCGACGAUCCAUAGCUGGUCUGAGAGGAUGAUCAGCCACACUGGGACUGAGACACGGCCCAGACUGCUACGGGACGCAGCAGUGGGGAAUAUUGGACGCUGGGCGAAAGCCUGAUACAGCAAUGCCGCGGGAGUGAUGAAGGCCUUAGGGUUGUAAAGCUCUUUUACCCGGGAUGAUAAUGACAGUACCGGGAGAAUAAGCACCGGCUAACUCCGUG
rnacentral:rRNA from 1 species